GUUUGUGACAUGAGUUUGGUGUUAGGGAGCUGGUUCCUGGGGCCGUUUGUGGUGCAGGGUUUGGUGUUUCUGAAGACUUAAGUUCUCUACAUUUCUAAAGGAGCAAAACUGCCAGUGGCUUCUCACCUCAGCACCGACCCAGGAUCAGAGUCAUGGCCGCCCUGGUGAUGGAGGGCAGGUCUGGGUGUGGACCGCAGCAGUGGGAAGGGGUGCGAGGGGCCAUGCAGCGGGCCUGUGGCAGGGCAGUGGCUGGAACCCAUGUCAUGCCCACCCGGCAGCCGUCUUGCUCCCUGUGCAGGUGUGUGGCAUCCUCAGAGGUGCUCAUGCUCCAGGCCUGGCUGAGGAAAGGAGGCAGGCAAGGCCGUUCACAGUCUCUUCUGAAGCCUUCCUAUCUCCCGCUGGAGCAAUGAGGUCUACACAGACAGCUUAAUUUGAAUUUGCCUCUCUGGGUCCCCUGAAUUGAGAGUGGAGUUGCUUUCAACGCAUGCUGACUUCACGUCCCAUCUUGUUGCUUCAGCUAUGGUUCAGGAUAUCCAAGCAGCUAUGUUCGCGUGUGCUAACAUCUCCCAGGUGCCCUCUGCCCGGCACACUCACCUCCCGAGGCACCCCGGGGUGUGGGCAUCCAGCCCAGGGUGGGGUACUUGCAGUAAGGUGAGCUUUGCCCUCCCAAGGCUGCCCUUCCUCAUCUCGUGCCCUGGCCCCAGCCACAGACCUUCCUGGUGGAUGUGCAUGGUGAACGGUGUCUGCCUACCUCCGGGUUCAAGCAGGCGGAGGCUCAGAGUGAUUCUCGGUCCCUUAGAGAGGGUGUGGGGGAGGUCGCCAGCUGUGGGGCCCAAGGACACGGGCAAGCCUGUGGCUCAGAUCACCCUUCUACCAUGGCACCAGCCACACAGGACUGCUGACCAAAAUCACAGCGUUCCUCAUAUCCGCAUAGAGAAUUCCUCAUGGCUUAAUGAAGUAUGUAGGAGAAGAUGCCAGUGGCUCAUCACCCGUCACCUGGAGUGAGGGGGCACCAUGGGCCUCGGGUCAUGUCUGCUGCCUUCCCACCACCUCUGCGUCCCCACAUCUUCAUGUCUGUUUCCUGGUGAAAUCGGGGCUGUGACAGAUCAUUUUGUUUCCUGCUCUGUCCCUUCGACACUAUAUCAUGAGCAUUUUACGCUCAAUUAAAUAUUUCCUCGAUGA